rnacentral:rRNA from 1 species
GAGUUUGAUCGUGGCUCAGAUUGAACGCCGGCGGCAUGCCUUACACAUGCAAGUCGAACGGCAGCACGGGAGCUUGCUCCUGGUGGCGAGUGGCGAACGGGUGAGUAAUGCAUCGGAACGUAUCCUGGAGUGGGGGAUAACGUAGCGAAAGUUACGCUAAUACCGCAUAUUCUGUGAGCAGGAAAGCGGGGGACCUUCGGGCCUCGCGCUCUUGGAGCGGCCGAUGUCGGAUUAGCUAGUUGGUGAGGUAAAGGCUCACCAAGGCGACGAUCCGUAGCAGGUCUGAGAGGAUGAUCUGCCACACUGGAACUGAGACACGGUCCAGACUCCUACGGGAGGCAGCAGUGGGGAAUUUUUGGACAAUGGGGGCAACCCUGAUCCAGCCAUGCCGCGUGAGUGAAGAAGGCC